GAUGAACGCUAGCGGCGUGCCUAAUGCAUGCAAGUCGAACGGGAACCUUUGGAAUUAUUCUGAAGGGGAGAGUGGCGAACGGGUGAGUAACACGUUGGUGACCUGCCCCAGAGAGGGGGAUAACCAUUGGAAACGAUGGCUAAUACCCCGGAUGUCGUUGUUGUUAGAGAUCAAUGACUAAAGCUCCGGCGCUCUGGGAGGGGCCUGCGGCCCAUCAGCUUGUUGGUAGGGUAACGGCCUACCAAGGCGAAGACGGGUAGGGGGCGUGAGAGCGUGACCCCCCACACUGGUACUGAAACACGGACCAGAUACCUACGGGUAGCAGCAGCAAGGAAUAUUGCCCAAUGGACGAAAGUCUGAGGCAGCAACGCCGCGUGGAGGAUGAAGGCCUUCGGGUUGUAAACUCCUUUUCUGGGGGAAGAGAAAGGACGGUACCCCAGGAAUAAGUCUCGGCUAACUACGUGCCAGCAGCCGCGGUAAAACGUAGGAGGCGAGCGUUAUCCGGAUUUACUGGGCGUAAAGCGCGUGCAGGCGGUUUUCUAAGUCGGACGUGAAAGCUCCCGGCUCAACUGGGAGAGGUCGUUCGAAACUAGGAGGCUUGAGGGUGGUAGAGGAGAGUGGAAUUC
rnacentral:rRNA from 1 species